rnacentral:lncRNA from 1 species
AAUCAUGGUAUCAUGGCAAAUAUACGGUUUCUACUCUCAAAUUUUUGUCUUAAACUAAGUCAGUUCAAAUUUAUCAUGAGAUUUCUAUUCUCUUUAAUUUUCGGUUUCAAAAUUCUUUAGUUUCGUGUUUCAUCCUAACCCCACUAGAUAAAACAAAAAUAAGGGCAAUUUUCUAUGACCCCUAAUACUUAAUAAACCUAAAACAAAAAAUCCAACACCCACAGCCUAAAAAAAAAAUCCAUUGGUCAGACAUUGAAAAAUCACGAAAUUGCAGAUAUCAAAUAAAAAUAUAAACUUAAUGGAAAAAAAAAUAGAUCAGACUGAAUUCAAUGGGUGCUAUAAUUACAAAAAAAAAUAGAAAUU